rnacentral:rRNA from 1 species
AACGAACGCUGGCGGCAUGCCUAACACAUGCAAGUCGAACGAGAACUUCGGGUCUAGUGGCGCACGGGUGGGUACGGCGGGGGAAGUUGCCCUUAGGUUACGAACCACUCCCUGUAGGGGGAGCUCAUGACGGUUAAUGUCUUCGGGCAAAAGAUCUCUCGCUGUUGGGUGGGGCCGUGUUGGUUUCGCUGGUUGGUAGGGUAUAAGCCUGCCAACGGGACGUUCCAUGGCUGGUCUGUGAGGAUGAUCAGCCACACUGGGACUGAGGCACGGCUCAGACACCUACGCGAGGCAGCAGUAGGGAAUAUUGUGCGAUGGGCGAAAGCCUGAUCCAGCAGUGCCGCGGAUGAGAUGAAGGCCGUAGGGUUGUAAAGCUCUUUUACCCGAGAUGAGAAUGACGGUACCGGGAAAAGAAGCACCGGCUAACUCCGUG